UAGGGUCAUAACACUUAUAAAUACCGGUUCUCGUACAAUCACCGAAAUUAAGCAACGUUGAUCCUGGACAAUACAUAGAUGGGUGACCGCUUGGGAAUACCAGGUGU